UGCCAGACUCCUACGGGAGGCAGCAGUGGGGAAUAUUGCACAAUGGGGGAAACCCUGAUGCAGCGACGCCGCGUGAGCGAUGAAGUAUUUCGGUAUGUAAACUUCUAUCAGCAGGGAAGAAAAUGACGGUACCUGACUAAGAAGCCCCGGCUAACUUCGUGCCAGCAGCCGCGGUAAUACGUAGGGGGCAAGCGUUAUCCGGAUUUACUGGGUGUAAAGGGAGCGUAGACGGCGAUGCAAGUCUGAAGUGAAAGGCGGGGGCCCAACCCCCGGACUGCUUUGGAAACUGUAUGGCUGGAGUGCAGGAGAGGUAAGUGGAAUUCCUAGUGUAGCGGUGAAAUGCGUAGAUAUUAGGAGGAACACCAGUGGCGAAGGCGGCUUACUGGACUGUAACUGACGUUGAAGCUCGAAAGCGUGGGGAGCAAACAGGAUUAGAUACCCCAGUAGU
rnacentral:rRNA from 1 species